rnacentral:sRNA from 1 species
AAGGAAGGAAGGAAAAGCUGUCUUGAUAACUUGUUUUAGAAUGAAGGAGUAGAUAUCAGACACUGACUUGAGACACCAAGGCUGAUGAGCCCAGUGGAUCAAACGGAUGAACAGUUGCUAAACUUUGCUUGUAUCUUGCUUGGCAUCUAUCUCUUCCUGUCCUGCAGCAGCAGCACCCUGGUCCCUGUUAUUAUAAACUGCUCAGGCUAGUUUCCAGUUUUGUUUGGUUUUGGUUUUGGUUUUGGUUUUGCGGUUGCUUUGUCUUGUUUCGUUCGUGACUACUGUCACCCCAGCAAGUUCUGUUUUCUUGGUGAACCCUGAAACAGGCACCCAGGAAAAAAAAAUGUAAAGUCUGUUUGAAGGGACACCAGCUUUCAUCAUGAUCUCUGGAAGAGCUGGAAGGCUCUCCAAGUGGACUGAAGAUCACCCCGGAGGCUAGCGAUGGAGCUCAGGCUUUCCACUCAACAACUCCGUACAUGCCACGGUUCCUGGAGUGGUGCAAAGAGGAAAGAAAUGCAGAAACCAGCAGAAGGAAACAGGAAGUGAUGGGCUGAGCUCCCAGCCACCGUGUGAGAAAGGACAAGGCUCAAAAGCAACAGGGCCAAGCAUCCAUGGAGCCAAAAUAAAGUUAAUUCUCAAAAGCUGACUUCCUACAGUAGUCCGUCAGAAGGACCGGAAGUUGCUAACACAACCUCCACUGAGAGUCGUUGUGUGCUGUUUCUGUUCCCACCCAUCACUGGUUUUACCCAGUCCCACUCAACUCACAAAGUUCCAGUGAGAUGAGACUUACCAACACGUGAUAAAGGGAAGAAUGGGAGGAGUUUUCCUAGGACGUGUGAGAAAGAACGCACCCAAGGGUUGGGAAGACCAUGACUCAAAAUAUAAGGUCACCAGGUUAUCACCUGCAGUCACAUAUUUCUCUAAGUAAGUAAGCAAGCCACAUAUUUCUCUGCGUAAGUGAGCAGGGAGUCUCCUGGGUAGUAGGAUCAAAUUUUUCCCUACUUCCUCCUACUGCUUAUGAUUCUUUCCUUUCCAAGGCCCAGCAAGACCAGGUCCAGCCACCAAGAAAUAUCUCAUCAUUUCAUGCAAGUCAAUAUAGCUACUGCAGAAAACAUGAGUUAGGGGAUGACUUGUUUCCUCUUCUUGGCUACCUUGACAACAGAGGUUCUCAAUCUGUGGGACAUGAUUGAGACCCUUGGCGGGUUGAGCAACCCUUUUACGGGGGUCACAUGACAGAUACUCUGCAUAUAGACAUUUAUGUUACAAUCAACAAUGGUAGCAAAAUUACAGUAAUGAAGUAGUAACGAAGUAAUGUUAUGGUUGGGGGUCAGCACGACAUGGGGAAGUGUCUUAAAGACUUGUGGAACCACUGUCCCACAGAAUUCUGUGUGUUGUUCUAAACUCAAGAUCUGCAGCAAUGCAAUGGCAAGCAGGUGACCAGAAGAAAAGGACAAAGACUUAAAAUAUUAAAAUGAGCAAACGUAAGGCUAGGGAGAGAAGGGGAUCUGAACUUUAACCUCCAACACCUAUGUUUUCAAAAAGCCAUGCUCACAUAGACACCUCUAACUCAGCACUUGUGGGGGUUGGGUGGGUAGAGGCAGCAGGAUUGCUGAGGAUUCCUGGCUGCCAAUCUAUUUCCAGAUCCAGGGAGAGAUCCGGUCUCAUGGGAAUUGACUGGGCUACAAGGCAGGACAGCGUACAUCCUUUUCUGGUCUGAGCACAUCAGCAUACACAUACCCUAACACACAUGUGUACGUAUCCUUCACACCCACUCACACGAGGUGUCACACAAGGAAAUCAGGAAACAAAAGGCAUAUGAAUUGUUUUUCAAAGAAAACACAAUAGAACAGUACAUGCUUAAAGGCCAUUUCCCCCGUUGGAAGCACAGUUCGACUGGCUGCUUUUACACAGAGCCUUCUGUCCACUUUGCCCUCUAAACCUGGCUUCCUUGGAGGUGUCUGCGGUCACAAAUGAAGUCUUUCUCCCCAGGACAUAAACUACCUCCAAAUAACCAAGUAGUGAGUAACGACUCACAGCUAACUCCUGAACAAAUGUCCACUCUACCUGGCUUUUUCAAAGCCAUGGAUACGUGCCAACUCAACCCUGGUAGCGUAACGUCCCAAUGCAAUAAGAUAAGAAAACUAGAACAGAAUCUCCUAUAAACAGGAAAGUUCUGAAAAGGUUUAAAGUUCAUAGGAAAAGACUGAUACCAUUUGAGUCACUUCAUACAGAAUAGCAACAUCAGGAAGGAAUUUUGAUAUAACACUGGAAUAUCAGUUUAUAAUGAUGACUCAAAAUGUCUUUCCUUUAAAAUUCUAGAGCCUCUUUUUUGAAGAUGGCAGUGAACUGUUUUGAGUGGUGUAUCUUACUCCUUAAUUGUUUCUUAGUUAAAUAUUUUUAACUCUAUUCACUAUUCCUCCCCUCUCCACCUAAAAUACAGUUUAUCAAAUCAAUUAAAAGCCUUUGGGCUCUGUUUAUUUGUUUCCUUGUUUGC